rnacentral:hammerhead_ribozyme from 1 species
AUUCAGCUAAUGUGUCCCAAAUAGGACGAGAUGUUCAUCCUGGAU